rnacentral:sRNA from 1 species
UGCCUUAUGAUUACAAACUUUGCUGAUUCCUGCCCACCCGAAGGCGUCAGAGAUCUGGGAAGGUGUCCCGGGUUGAGGACGACGUCGAUAACGGUGGGAACUAUGAUACAGAUUAUGAGAGAUGAGGGCU